AUUGAACGCUGGCGGCAGGCCUAACACAUGCAAGUCGAGCGGAUGAGUGGAGCUUGCUCCAUGAUUCAGCGGCGGACGGGUGAGUAAUGCCUAGGAAUCUGCCUGGUAGUGGGGGACAACGUUUCGAAAGGAACGCUAAUACCGCAUACGUCCUACGGGAGAAAGUGGGGGAUCUUCGGACCUCGCGCUAUCAGAUGAGCCUAGGUCGGAUUAGCUAGUUGGUGAGGUAAAGGCUCACCAAGGCGACGAUCCGUAACUGGUCUGAGAGGAUGAUCAGUCACACUGGAACUGAGACACGGUCCAGACUCCUACGGGAGGCAGCAGUGGGGAAUAUUGGACAAUGGGCGAAAGCCUGAUCCAGCCAUGCCGCGUGUGUGAAGAAGGUCUUCGGAUUAUAAAGCACUUUAAGUUGGGAGGAAGGGCAGUAAGUUAAUACCUUGCUGUUUUGACGUUACCAACAGAAUAAGCACCGGCUAACUUCGUGCCAGCCGCCGCGGUAACAC
rnacentral:rRNA from 1 species